rnacentral:sRNA from 1 species
UAUACUUAUACUUACAUGUCUCUUCUAGUUGUGGUGGGCGCGACUGCUUUGGUACUCUAGCAUAGCCUCCAACCCAUUCAUCCUCCUGCCACUGGUGCCCAUCUAUCAACAGUGCCUCAAUGUAAUCAACCCUUGGAUCAUCAACUUCAUCAUCCCAUGAAAGAGAUGGAGGACAAACAUUAUCACCUGGUUUCACAAUAUAGUUGACCUCAACCUACACAAAUAAGUAUGUUAACCAUAGAUAAUGUACAUUUACUUAUUAUGUACGUACAUACACAAUUUAACACACCUCAUCAGCAGCCUCACACUCCAAAAUGCGAGAUGUCCGGAUUGCUCGCAGAGAGGCAAGACGAUGGAUAGACCUCUCAGCAAAUGUCCUGUUAGGUACAUCAUCAGGUCCUAGCUUAGCAAUUGAUGGGAUUGUUUCGAAAGCUAAAAGCUGGAGAGCUAAUGGGAAACCAUGGAGUGCAUAAGACCCUACAAGUAUACCCCUUAUUAGUUUCUGAGCAUCGUAAGGAGUUUGGAAAUUUGCUAUCCUCCCCAAAGUACGGGUAAAGGACACCCUUCCCCAUGGGUAUUUGCAGAAAAACUCCAGGUUCUUAGUAGUCUCGACAGUCUUCGAAGUAGGCCUGUUGGGGUUACUGUGGGCCGCUACCACACCGUCAACCAAAAUAAUAAGAGAUAGUGCCAGUUGCUUCCACCCCUCCAUGCUUUCCUCCUCCUGCAGCCAGCUCACCAAAUCAGCAAUUGUUGGAACCGUGUCCCCAAACCUCUCAUGAAACAGAGUCUUCCAAACACUCUCACACUCAGGUUUCACACUGAUAACAUCAUCAACGUCUUUCUUCUUGGGAUACUUCCCACAUUCCAGCCCAGUUAAGAUACUAAAUUCUCUUAAUCUAAAUCUGAUUGGAUGACCGCCGAAUACAAUCCACAUCUCAUUCACCUUCUUUGUCACUAACUGACGGCAUAUUAGUCCAAGGACAAGCUUAGCAUUGAAAGAUGCCUUGUUUUUGGGUAUUUUAAAAAGUUUCCCAAAUGGAGAAUCGAGAAGAAACUGCAUCUCUGGUUUCCCCUUUAGUACUUUUGCUAUGUGAGAAAUGUACUCCGGUUUAGAGUACGCGUUCAUCUUCGUCUCGGAAGGGUACCGGUCUAGAGCAAAGAGUCUUGGUGGUAACUCUUCAACUGUAAGAUCUUCAGUCGGAGCAACACUUGGACUACCUGCAAUUAAAAGUCAUAUACUGUUGAGCAAACAGAAGUAGUGUACGUACACAGACAUUUUCUAGAUUAUAACUCAAAAUCAUAUUUUUGGCGGAAACAGAGAUUUCCAAUUCUACUUCUCAAUUUUUCAUCCUAAAGAUAUGCUAAAUUCCGACAAAUUCUAACACUUUAAUCAAACAAGCUUUACAAUUCUGAUACACCCAAAGACAACAAACGGUAAAUUAGAGAUUCUAACCCAGUUCCUCCGUUGCCUUUGUCGCAGAGCGUUUUCUCCGCGGGGAAACUCUUAAUACACGCUUCUCCUUCCCUGGACCAUGCUGCUUCCUCGGGACUUCGUCGUUAACUUUAUUCCCAGCCAUAGCUAAAGAUGCUAUUUCGCCGGAGGUUCAAAUUUCGCCGGAAAAAACAGUAACUUUCUCUUGGCUUCGCCGGGAAAAACAGUAACUUUCUCUUGGUUUCGCCGGGAAAAACAGUAACUUUCUCUUGGCUUCGCCGGGAAAAACAGUAACUUUCUCUUGGCUUCGCCGGGAAAAACAGUAAGUUUCACUUCAUCGGAUGUGGGAGUUCAGUGGCACAAUUCAACUACCCAACAAUUCGAAGUUAUGUCGAAUUUUGAAGCAAUGGAUACUGAAUUUCGUUUCGCUUUCUGAUUCUCUCUCAAUCUCUCCGUUAUUCUCUUUUUCGUUUUCUCGGUUUCUUCGUUUCAGUUUUUUUUUUUUUUGUCUUUUUCAAAACUGAACCGCAUCAACUAAACCGAAACCAACUGCUGUAGGGUUUGGUUUACGCCGUCAACUUAACCGAUACGAACUGCUGCACGGUUUGGUUUGUGCCAUUAUUAAGUUUUCCCAAGGUAAUUUGGUCCGAAAUUGAAUGAAAAGACAAAACGUGAAAACCAGUUCUCACUUUGACAAACGGUGAGAGCAAAUCUUUUUUCGUCCACUUUUGUGAAAAUUUCUUUUUGUUUAAUUGAUGAUUGAAAAGAAAACGGCACAAACCAAACCUCAAUCUUUGUUUUUUCCUCA